rnacentral:rRNA from 1 species
UACGUAGGCAGCGAGCGUUGUUCGGAAUUACUGGGCGUAAAGAGUGUGUAGGCGGUGCUCUAAGUUCGGUGUGAAAUCUCCCGGCUCAACCGGGAGGGUGCGCCGAAAACUGGAGGGCUCGAGUGUGGGAGAGGUAAGCGGAAUUCCUGGUGUAGCGGUGAAAUGCGUAGGAUAAUCAGGAGGAACACCUGUGGUGUAGACGGCUUACUGGACCAUUACUGACGCUGAGGCACGAAAGCGUGGGUAGCAAACAGG